rnacentral:rRNA from 1 species
AACGCGAAGAACCUUACCCGGGCUUGAACUACUCGUGGUAGGCUGGUAGAAACAUCGGCCGACCCGCAAGGGAGCGAGCAGAGGUGCUGCAUGGUUGUCGUCAGCUCGUGUCGUGAGAUGUUGGGUUAAGUCCCGCAACGAGCGCAACCCCUACUCGAUGUUGCUAAUCCCGCAAGGGAUGCACUCUUCGAGAACUGCCUUCGACAAGAAGGAGGAAGGUGGGGACGACGUCAAAUCCUCAUGGCCCUUAUGUCCGGGGCUACACACGUGCUACAAUGGCCGGUACAACGGGAAGCAAUACCGUAAGGUGGAGCAAAACCCUGAAAGCCGGCCCCAGUUCAGAUUGUGGGCUGCAACUCGCCCACAUGAAGGCGGAAUCGCUAGUAAUCGCGAAUCAGCAGGUCGCGGUGAAUACGUUCCCGGGCCUUGUA